UCUGGGGUUUUCAGUCCUUUACAAGUCUUGCCCAUCUGCCCAAGCUCACCAAGUAGCCGAGGGUGUGGUUGGAGGGAGGGCCUUGGAGGAGCAGGGCUGUCCACCUGAGGCUCCACCUCUGGCUGCGUGUGUAGCUGGCCCCAUGCUGGUAUCUCCUUUGGUAUGGUCCCUAAAGGAAGGCAAGACCCAAUAAGUGUCCAUACGCUGGUGGGGACGGGGGUCACGUCCUGUGCUCAAGGCCAAGGCCUAGGUUGGAAGUCAAGGUACCUAGGAGGAGGAGCCUGAUAGGGCAUGGCCAGCUCCUAGGGAGCAUGGCAAGCUCCAAGCUUGUAGAAGUGGAGCCUGUAACUGCAGGGGUGGAGGCCAAGGGGCAGGACUUAAGCUAAGACAGGGCUGUAGGCAAACAAGUCUGAAGUCUGGGACAGCAAUUGCCGUGCCUGUGUGGGCAGGGCAUGUGCCACCUGCCUGUCUUUUGGAACUGGUUCAGCUGAUAGAUGCUUUGGGAUGGGGCCUCUGCCCUUUUCUUUGGCUUUGUCUCUCACCAGUGCUCGGAGUUCCCCAGGCCUCCGGGCUCCAGGUGCUCCAGGUGCCAGCAUCUAGAAAGUCCCGGGCACUGACUCGUACAGCAUGGGGCAGCCCAGCCACAGCAUCUGUGAUCACCUCCUCCAGUCCAGCUGGCUCCACCUGGGGGUAAACAUGACUCACUGUUACCCAGCUUGUAAGUGCAGGGCCUUCCCAGCCACCAUCUACAAAGAGCACCCCUUGCUCCCAGUCUCAUCCUAAAGCCUAGUGGAGCUGUCUAGGUCUCAUGUUGGGUGUCUGGUGGAGCUGAGUCUACACCUAGUGUUUGUAAGACGGCAGUAGUGAUUACUUAGAGAGGCUGUGGCAUCAGGCAGCCUGGGUUCAAAUCUUUGGUGAACCACAUAUUGAAUGACCCUUUGGGCCUCUCUGUGACUCAGUUUCUUCAUUUGUAAAAUAGAGGUGAAUCUACCUAAACAAAACAAUGUAUGCAAAAAGUGUAGCCAGGUACCCCACAGGCAGGCAGCACUAAGUAAAUAUUAGUUAUUAUCUGAUGCUGCUGCUCCCUAGUCCUGAUACCAGCCAAUCUUUAACAUCUCCUGAGACACAAAUUCACUGCUAUCCUCAGCUGGGUAUAUGAGUGUUUGUAGGAGAAUGUGCCUCUAGGUGAAAGGCACUCCUUUUCCUAAGAGUUAUUUUUAGGCCGGGCGCCGUGGCUCACACCUGUAAUCCCAGCACUUUGGGAGGCCGAGGUGGGCAGAUCGUGAGGUCAUGAGUUCGAGACCAGCCUGGGCAAUAUGGUGAAACCCCAUCUCUACUAAAAAUACAAAAAUUAGCCAGGCAUGGCGGCGGGCACCUGUAGUCCCAGCUACUCGGGAGGCUGAGACAGAAGAAUUGCUUGAACCCAGGAGGUGGAGGUUGCAGUUAGCCGAGAUUGCACCACUGCACUCCAGCCUAGGUGACAGAGCGAGACUCCCUCUCAAAAAAAAAAAGUUAUUUUUUUAAAAGCCAUUGCUAUCUUCCCACAGAUGUGCUUUACCUCAUAGUUAUAGCCCCACAGGACAGACAUUCAGUCUCUCAGUCACCACUGCAACCCAGCACCCAGUACAAAGCCUGGCCCACAGGGAAGUGUUGGGUCUUCAGUGACCUGCCAGCACUGGAAAGCUAUACAGAACACCCAGGAUCGUGAAAUCAGAGACAGGACCCACAGCCGUGGGUUGGGACGCACUCCAGGCCUCACCGUGGACCAGGCUGGAUGCUGCGCCGGACGGUACUGCAAACGGAACUUGAGCAGGAAGUGGGGCUGGCACGGCCAGGAGGCAGGGUAUGUCCAGCUGGCUCGCAGGCGUCGGGGGUAACCUGGUACUGACUCUACCCGCAGGCCCUGGGGUGGGUCAGGGCGCACUAAGGGCAUCAAGACACAAAGUCAGGGUAGGCUAUGGGUCUCCAUCACUUCCCCACCACUUCCCAAAGUGUGUGUUUAAAGGAGCCUUAGCCAGACACUCCUGAGAGGGGAGGGGAAAUCUUAAACUUGAUCAUCCAUUAGACUCAGACCGGUCAUCUGUAUUAUGAAAUGGGCUGAGGCCGCGUGUGGUGGCUCAUGCCUGUAAUCUCAGCACUCUGGAAGACUGAGGCGGGAGGAUCACUUGAUGCCACGAGUUUGAGACCAGCGUGGGCAACGUAGCAAAACCCUGUCUCUACAAAAAAUUUUAAAAAUUAACCAGACAUGGUGGCACAUGCCUGUAAUCCCAGCUACUUGGGAGGCUGAGGUGAGGGGAUAGCUUGAGCCCAGGAGUUGCAGGCUUCAGUGAGCCAAGAUCACACCACUGAACUUCAUCCAGCCUGGGCACAAAGUGAGACCCUAUCUCAACAAAAAAAGGAAGAGAAAGAAAAAAAGAAACCACCUGAGAUCUGCGGGUGGACUUUUGAAGUGCUUCUUGAGUGAAUAAAAGAGCAAUUCCUAUUUUCAUCCAAGGAAGAUGAAUUGGCCCAAAUUCCAGCUAGAGUUUUAGUGUCCCACUCCCAUGCACAGGUCAAGGAAGGAGGGGCCAGCAAGGGAGGACAUGACAUAUGGCUGCAUUCGGUACAGGGCCUGCUCUGAGGCUAGGCAGCCAAUCAGGCAGUGUGGGUAGCAGCAGCAGCCUCUAGAGUGUGUGCUGAAAUAACCAUGCCUCCUGGGCUCUGAUCCCUUUGCCUUCUCAGGCUCCACAGGGCCUUCUCUGUGUGAAAUGGAGUCUAGGUUGGGAGGAAACUGGGAACUCUGGGAGUGGAGAGAUCUGAGUCCAUUUGGGGUCUCUGUGAUGGGGGUCUGGGGGAGGUCUGGGGUGGGUACUCACAGAUGCUCUGCAAGCUCACAUCCAGCAGGCGUGUGCUGGCACCCAGUGGGUUCACCUCAGUCACAUUAAUCCGGUACUGGCUCCAGAACUCAGCCCCGUGGACAACACAGCGGGCAGCCCCUAGGGGAUCCUGUGGGCAUGGCCAGGGCCCUGUGGAUGGACUCCUCCUAGAAGGGAGGAUGUGGUCUUUGGCUUUGAAAAUGCCUACUGUGGGACCCAGCUGGAGCCCCCACAUGCUCCCUCACGUCCUACCUCUGGCUAUCAGCUCCUAGGACUGUCUUCUUCCUGGUGGGGAGGGGGCCAUCUGAAGUCAGGAAGGAAAAGAGGGCCUUCUGCCCUCUCUGAGGCUUUCCUCAGAACCUACCUCCCUGCCUCCCACACCCACAUUGCACCAGCAUACCCAAAUGUGUAGGCAUCCACACCCAAUCACACACACACCUGUAGGAGGUGAGGUAGCGGGUGGGUAAACCGCUGAUCUGGCUGGGACUCCAAGUGCAAGAGAAGUUCUCAUAGUCGGCUGCUUGGCAGGAGACAACAGGGCGGGCUGGAGGGUCUAGAGGCAGAGGGUACACCUGGAGACUGAGCAGUCCUCAGGUCCUCCUGGUCCCAGAGGGCUUACUUAGGUCCCAUACUCCCUCAGGAUCCCUAUGUGUCAUCAGUGCCACCCUCCCCAACUCACAGCCCAGCUGCAGGGUCACUGUGCCCCCAAGUGCACCAUCCAGGGUCUGGCAGAUGUAGGUGCCCUCAUCAGUGCUGUCUGCCUGGGCCAGGACCAGUUCAUGCCCUAGCCCAGAGUCAGGUCCCUGGAGCAGCUUUGGCUCCCCAUCCCGAAACCAGGACACUGGGUCCCUGGAAGUGAGAUGAGGUGACAAUGGACAAAGACAAGAUGUCAAGCAUAAGUCAGACCAUGCCACAGCUCUCCAUUGGCUUCUAACUGCAUUUGCAAUAGAACCCAAAUUCCUUUUACUGGCUUUCAAAGCCCCUUGUGAGCCAGCCCUUGCCUUCCUUUCCUUCUUCAGCUCCUAUCUCUCUCCCCCUCACCCACUGAAAACUCCAGCUACAUUGGUCUUCUUUCUAUUCCUCGGGGGUAUUGAGCUCAUUCCCACCUCAGGACAUUUUGCACUAGCUGCUCCCUCUGUCACGAGCGCUUAUACCUUAAUGUGUGCAUGGCUGCCUCCUUCCUGACCUUCAGAAAUCAGCUUCAACACCAUCUCCUCAGAGAGACCUUUCCUAACUACCAAUUAAAAGGUAACCACGGGCCAGGCACGGUGGCUCACGCCUGUAAUCUAGCACUUUGGGAGGCUGAGGUGGGUGGAUUACUUGAAGUCAGGAGUUCAAAGCCUGACCAACAUGGUAAAACCCCGUCUCUACUAAAAAUACAAAAAAAAAUUAGCCGGGCCUGGUGGCGCAUACCUGUAAUCCCAGCUACUUGGGAGGCUGAGGCAGGAGAAUUGCUUGAACCCAGGAGGCAGAGGUUGCAGUGAGCCCAGAUUGCACCACUGCACUCCAGCCUGGGCAACAGAGUGAGACUCUCGGAAAAAAAAAAAAAAAAAGUAACCACUCAGUUGUCCUCUUCGACAUCCCUCACUUUGGUUUUUCUGCCCUGCAGGUGCUCAAAACAUACCAGUUGAAUUUUCUGUUGAAUAAGGAUAGUUAGACGGUUAGGACAGAUAGAGAGGUGAGGAUUACGGACAGAGCGGGCAAGGAUGGGAGGGGCGGGACAUGAGGACUAGGCAGAGUCAAGAAAGGGUCAUGAGUGUCAGACCAACAGGCAGGUGGGGCACUUACCCGGCAGUCACUCCAGGACAACACAGCUUCACGGACCUGCCUGGCUGCCCAUACUGGACCCCUGUGGAGGGCACUUCUGAGGUAAGGCUCUUCCUUUACCCCCCUCCCCACUUUGUGAGAAUGACAGAUAAGAAGCAGACUGUUAAAACCUGGGUGGUGGGGGGCUCACUGGAUCAAAGCAUCAUGUUAUAAUCUGGUCACAAGUUAGGCAUGGGAAGGGGCCACAGUGAGGGUGGCAAGUCACAAGUCAGAGUUGGGAGGUUGUAGAGCAGGGUUCUUCUCACCUGGGGGGCCCCAGGCCUGGGGGCAGGGGGAGGAGGCAGACACCAGGGCUGUAGCCACGGCCACCAGGACCCUGCUCAGCCCUGAGCAGCUGCUGCUCAUCUGUGGGGAGAGGUAGAGUCAAAAAUCCCCGACCCCUGAGAUGGGAGGCUAAAGCCUGGCUCUUCCUCUCCAAAACUGAGGCUUCCUAGGAGAAAAAUUGAUGCACCAAGUGGGGUAAGGCUGUUAGAAAUCACUGCGGGAACUGACCUGAGGUCCCCUUUCCCACUGUAUACCCAGUGCUUUGCAUGUGCGUGCGCGCGCACACACACACACACACACACACGGACACACACACCCCCUCACACCCUCCAUCUCAGUCCUGGGCUUAGGGCCCAGAACAAAAGCCGGAGGCAACAGACUGUGCCAGCAACUCCCCCUCCACUGCCCUUGGCGCCCACCCCUGGCACCAAGCACUGGCACCAGCUCAGCCACUCCCAUUAACCCCUCCAGUCCAGCUGUUGGGAAUUCUGGUAUUUACCCCCACCUGGUCCAGGGCUUAUCACUGCCUCUGAUUAACCUAGGCAGACCUUAUCACCCUGGGGGAAGGGUGUCAUCAUGGAUCUGAGCCCAUCCUGCACUCCCACCCUGAGGCCCACCCCUGCCCUGGCUGCCAGGCUUCUCGCCUGAACCUGGCUCCUUGGUCUGGCUACUUGGGCCACUCAGCUGGGCCUGGCUCUUGACACUUCGUUGGUCUCCAGUUUGUGAAGCUGGAUGGGGCUAGGGUGCAGGCUGGGGCUGUGUAGUUAAGCAGAUCCAGAUGCCCUGGCUGCUGCCAGAGGCUGGGGGUGGGCGAGGAGCCAGCAGAUGGAAAUGGAGACAGGGUGGCGGGGAGGGGAGGGGAGGGAAGGGGAUGAGAGGCUGAGAGGAACUGGGAGCCUGCAGGGACAGGCAUGGGGGCCACAGCACCAAGAGAUACUCAGAGAUCAGGACUAGGAGGUGAUGGGGCAGUGUGGGAAGUGUUGGAAAGACUGGAUUGGGGUCAGCGGAAACUCAAAAAGCUAACAGUGUGUCUAUAUGGCAGGUGGGGGAUGCUAGGAGAGAGAGAUUCUGGACAAGGGGGAGCAGAAGGAGGAAGGCAGUGGUGAAGUGGAUGGAGAACGAAGGGGCAGGCGGGGAAAGGGCUCUGGGAACAAGACCAGAAGAGGAAGAGCACGGACCCUUCAGGAGUAGGAGUAGAGCAGAGCAGGGCCUCCACCUGUCUGUGUGUCUGUCUGAGUGUGUCCAGUUGGCUCACCCCUGGCCACCCAGCCACACUUACCCUGCUUAGCCCCACCCUACCUCGGUGAUCCCAGCAGCAGAGUGUCCAUAGCCUCUAGGACUUCCUCUCACCAGCUACAGCCCCCGUCUCCUACUCCACUCAGUUCUGGGACCCCAGAGCCAUCCCCUCCUUCCCCUUCCCUGCCCCGCCCCCUCUAAGCCCUGGAGCUCUGCCGCCCCUAGCCAGGCCCCCUCCCUGCUCCUGCCUCCUCCCUCCUUCCCUCCCACCCAAGGCCCUGGGAAGGGAAGAGGCCUCCCCCAAGUCUGGAAAGGAAGCCACAGACACAGCCAAGGCCAGCAAGAGGGAAAGGAGGGUGGCUAAUACUUAUGUCCCUGUCAGUGAGAGAUGCCCUGUGUUUUCACACAGCCAGACACAGUCACAUUCACACACAGACUCAAGAGGCACAGUUAACAAAAGGGCAUGCCUUUGAACACACGUGGACACAAUCAAAUGAAAAAUCAGAUACAAACUCCCCCUCUUUUCACUCCUCACCAAAUGUUUCCUUAGGGUACAGCUGGCUGUGCUUCCAGGGGAAGGGAGGCCCCAGGUUGGGGGAUAUAAGGAGAGGCCAAAGAGUCCAGUUCCCCCUCCCCUGGAAGUUCCAGCCAUUUCUCACCUCCCCCUCCAUUCUUUGGGCCCCAGCACCAGGAAAUGCCUUUGGUCCCUUGGUGCCAGAUACACAAGACCCACAGUUACCCUCAGACUCAUACACU
rnacentral:lncRNA from 10 species